rnacentral:lncRNA from 1 species
AUUCACUCCAGAAGUGUUUCUCGGAGGUCUUUUUUUCCAGGAGAAGGCAAGAUGGCCCUGGGAGGCUCUGCUAUCAGCCUGUCCUUUUCCUUGGAACACGGAUCUGAGGCUCCUCGGUGCUGAGCGUGCCUGUGUCCCAUCUGCUCCCACGCCCUGAAAUCAAACUCAGCAGCUCAGGUGAAGCAGGCACUGUGCAAACAUGUCAGGACUGCCUCCACCCCUUUUCCUUCUCCCGCUCUCUCCCGCCGUCUUUCUCUCCCAAGUUUAUCGGCGUCUCAGCGGAUUGCGGUGGCAGAGAGCUUCCACCUCACCUCUGGGUCCGGAGCAAUGAGGAACCACAGGGCAUUAAUGUCUUAAUGUAUUUGGGGAGAGAGUACUGAAGAAAAAGCAAACAACAGAAGAGAAGUUUGUGGCUGGUGAGUGAGAGCUCCGCGGGGCUUUGGGAUGUUUGCUGGGUUUU